rnacentral:SRP_RNA from 1 species
GCCGGGCAUGGUGGCGCAUGCCUGUAAUCCCAGCUACUCAGGAGGCUGAGGCAGGAGAAUCGCUUGAACCCAGGAGGUGGAGGUUGCAGUGAACCAAGAUCACGCCACUGUGCUCCAGCCUGGGUGACGGAGCAAAACUCUGCCUCAA